rnacentral:misc_RNA from 1 species
GGUGGAAUGAGUCCUCGCAACUGUGCAAUUCCAACAGCAUUCUUAUACUUGCCUGUUCCUCCAGUCACUGACAAAUGUGACAUUGCACUCCCAAUCUUAUAUACGCCAUAGAAGUUGAGGCUGUCCCCAAAUUCUCCUCCUUCAAAGAUAGCUGUAAAUGCCAUCAUCUGUGUGCUCCCAUCUGCAGAACUAGCAAUGUAGACUCCUUGAGCUUUUCCCAAUUGCUGCGAACCAAGCUCAGGGCUGGUUGUCAAGACAUCGUCAAUGACAGUGAUCGUUCCAAAGCCUAGUCCCAACCCGUCAGGUCCC